ensembl:lncRNA
AAACGGAAUGUUCCCAGGAGUUGGCAGUUGAGCUGAGGAGGGGGAGGGAACUGGACUUGGAGUCACUCUCUCUGGAGGUUGUAACCUGGCUGAAAGACCCUGGUGGGGCUGACUUGGUUUUGGGGUUCUCUGACUUUGGACAGUUGAAGUUGACAAGAAGAAGAAACUUGGCUUUUGAGUUGGUGGUCUAUUUGAGAGUUGAGCUGACCAGGAGGAACUGAGAGACUUUGAAUUUUGUUUCUCUCUAGGGUUAAGCUUAGAGACCUUGCUGAUUUUGUGAAGAAAGAAGAUUUUGAACAGCUGUUGUCCUCCAUCUCCCUAACUGUCUUAGAGUCACAGCUUGUGACUGGACUACUUUCUCAAACCCUCAUUUUAGAUUAGGGACAUCCUCAUCCCUCUCACCUCGUUUUCCCAUCCUGUUAUCCCAAUAAACCCCUUGACUUGAAAAAGAAAAGACUAUCUUUAUAGUUCACUGAAGUAAGCAGUGUCAGGUUCCUGUAACAGCUCUCUCUAGUCAUAAACCAGAGGGCAGCAGUCAUUGCAGAAGAAACCAUUUCCCCACAGUUUACCUUCUCUAUUUCAAUAAGUAAUAGUUUCCUUCAGUUUACUAUUCUAUUUCAGAGCCCAUCAUGUGAGAGAGGAUUCCCCAUAUCCUAUGAAUAUAUUUUGCCAUUUGGACCUUAUAACAAACUUGUGAGAUACCCACUAUGGACAAAAAUUGUCCCCAUUUUACAGAAGAGAAUACUAAAGUUCAGAGAAAUCAUAUGACUUAUCCAUGGACAUGCAUCUAAUAAAGUGUGAGAGGCAAGAUUUAAAAUCAAAGUCCAGCAUUGCUUAUAAUGCAUAAUGCCUUCCUUCAUGAUUAUGUAAGAUCAUCUGCCAUAAAACUAAGGCCUUUAAGGAAUAUUGCCUCAGUACUUCCUUUCAUCUCAUAUCUACUUCAGGAAGAGACUAAGAUGAAUUGGGCCAAAGGUCUUUAUUGGAUGAGAAGAUUGGAGAAAGAUGGUGACAAGAAAAAAAAUGUGCACUCUUCCACAGCUGUAUGCCUCAAAAUCCCUGUGGAGGCUGGUGGAGAAGCUACUGACUGGACCCAAGACGUGGAGAGCUGACUUCUUUUAUAUUGGAUUUUCUGAAGAGACUAGCCUCAGGAGAGACUUCCCCAAGUCCUUGGCUUUGCUGAGGCCUAAGGACUAACUCUUCCUGUCUUGGUUGAGCCAGGGACUGGGAGUAAAUUACUUAGUUCUUAGGUUAGAUAUCUUACCCUAUACUCUCUCUGAUUUUCUUACUUCACUCUAUAUUUUGUAAAUAAAUUGUAAAUAAAUCUCUUUUGGAAU